rnacentral:rRNA from 1 species
ACGGCAGCACAGUCGUAGCAAUACGAUGGGUGGCGAGUGGCGGACGGGUGAGUAAUGCAUCGGGAUCUACCCUGACGUGGGGGAUAACCUCGGGAAACCGGGACUAAUACCGCAUACGUCCUACGGGAGAAAGCGGGGGACCUUCGGGCCUCGCGCGGCAGGACGAACCGAUGUGCGAUUAGCUAGUUGGCGGGGUAAUGGCCCACCAAGGCGACGAUCGCUAGCUGGUCUGAGAGGAUGAUCAGCCACACUGGGACUGAGACACGGCCCAGACUCCUACGGGAGGCAGCAGUGGGGAAUAUUGGACAAUGGGCGCAAGCCUGAUCCAGCAAUGCCGCGUGUGUGAAGAAGGCCUUCGGGUUGUAAAGCACUUUUAUCAGGAGCGAAAUACCACGGGUUAAUACCCUAUGGGGCUGACGGUACCUGAGGAAUAAGCACCGGCUAACUUCGUGCCAGCAGCCGCGGUAAUACGAAGGGUGCAAGCGUUAAUCGGAAUUACUGGGCGUAAAGGGUGCGUAGGCGGUUGUUUAAGUCUGCCGUGAAAUCCCCGGGCUCAACCUGGGAAUGGCGGUGGAUACUGGGCAGCUAGAGUGUGUCAGAGGAUGGUGGAAUUCCCGGUGUAGCGGUGAAAUGCGUAGAGAUCGGGAGGAACAUCAGUGGCGAAGGCGGCCAUCUGGGACAACACUGACGCU